rnacentral:lncRNA from 1 species
AGAAGGUGAAGCUGUGACGGAGCAGCAGCCGGCUGCGGAGGAGCCGGAAAAGGUCGUCACUGAGAAGAAGGCCAAGGCUGCUAAGGAGAAGAAGCCCAAGGCUCCUAAAGAGAAGAAGCCAAAGCAGUCCAAAACCCCCUCUCAUCCUCCUUAUUUUCAGGUUUGUCAAUUUAAUCAAAUUAAAUUAUAAGCCACGUUCAUUGAAGGAAGUUUUUGAUAUUAUUGUAACAAAGGUGUUAAUUGUGCAGAUGAUAACGGAGGCACUGACGGCGCUGCAAGAUAAGAGCGGUUCAAGCCCAUACGCAAUAGCCAAGUACAUGGAAGAGAAGCACAAGGAUGAGCUCCCAGCGAAUUUCAGGAAAAUAUUGGCAGUGCAGCUGAAGCACUUUGCCGCGAAAGGAAAUCUCAUCAAGAUCAGGGCCUCUUACAAGCUCUCUGAAGCGGCAGCUGGCAAAACCAAAAAAGAGAUCAAGACCAAGGCCAAGGCCCCAAGGAAAACAAGGUCCGUAACUGCUGCAGCUAAAAUCAAAGCAGAGUCCGCCGCCGCCGCUCCUCCUCCGCCUAAGAAGGCAAAGAAAUCAGCUGCUGCCAAACCAAAGCAGCCCAAAUCCAUCAAGUCCCCUGCUGCUAAGAAAGCC